rnacentral:rRNA from 1 species
AACGAACGCUGGCGGCAUGCCUAACACAUGCAAGUCGAACGAGACCUUCGGGUCUAGUGGCGCACGGGUGCGUAACGCGUGGGAACCUGCCCUUAGGUUCGGAAUAACUCCCCGAAAGGGGUGCUAGUACCGGAUAAUGUCUUCGGACCAAAGAUUUAUCGCCUUUGGAUGGGCCCGCGUUGGAUUAGCUAGUUGGUAGGGUAAAAGCCUACCAAGGCGACGAUCCAUAGCUGGUCUGAGAGGAUGAUCAGCCACACUGGGACUGAGACACGGCCCAGACUCCUAGGGGAGGCAGCAGUGGGGAAUAUUGGACAAUGGGCGAAAGCCUGAUCCAGCAAUGCCGCGUGAGUGAUGAAGGCCUUAGGGUUGUAAAGCUCUUUUACCCGGGAUGAUAAUGACAGUACCGGGAGAAUAAGCUCCGGCUAACUCCGUG